GCGUGAGGGAUGAAGCAUCAAGGUGCGUAAACCUCUGUUAGAAGGGACGAACGAUCUCGAUAGUCUCGAGAAUUGACGGUACCUUCAGAGAAAGCCCCGGCUAACUCCGUGCCAGCAGCCGCGGUAAUACGGAGGGGGCAAGCGUUGUCCGGAAUCAUUGGGCGUAAAGGGCGUGUAGGCGGAAUUGUAAGUCAGAGGUGAAAUCUUGGGGCUCAACCCCAAGUCUGCCUUUGAUACUGCAGUUCUUGAGUGCGGAAGAGGAAAGCGGAAUUCCCGGUGUAGCGGUGAAAUGCGU
rnacentral:rRNA from 1 species